CGGGGUCUAGGUCUGUCUCCUCUGUUGUCUGUGUCUGUCUGUGCGUGUGCGUUCGUGUGGAAGCGCGCUGCCAACGCUGAUUUCAUUUGCUUGUUCCUUUUUUUUUCACUGCGGUGUCGUCCGCCGUCCCAGAAGCCAUCUGGCGAUGGUGGCGAAGAGGGGCAACCAAGAAACGCGGCUGCGUCGGGUCUCGGAUGUCAGACCUUGCCUAGACCUCGUGGCGGAAGGGUCUCUCGUCAGACUCUAGCGCUCCUUUGCUCCUCGGGUGUUUUGCCCUGGACUCCCACCCGCCACGCUCCGCGGCCUAGUGCGCAGGACUUCGGUGUUCUGCGGGCAACCCGCCUUCCAGGACUUUUACCGAACGACCUUCCGAAACUCUGCUGCGCGCUGAGGGCCCGGUGCUCCUGCCUCCAGUGAUCCGAAGCGACAUCGACACCGCAGUGGCGGAAAGCAUCGACGUCCUCCACGCCAGCGGGAGCCGAAUAUCGCUCGAGCAGGGCCACUUGGGAGCAGCGACGACAAUCGAUUAGCCUUGGGCAGGUCUGGAUGAGUGGCAAUGUUGCUUGUUUGUCAGAAUAUUGCACUCGUCCCGGCCUUUCUCUGGCUUCACAAGCAGCGGCGUGACUGCAGGCUGCGGGAGACCAGAAGACCCGCUUAACUGUCCGUAGUGUGACGUGCGCUUGCGUGACCCUGUUUUUUGUUUUUUACCUUUAGUGGUUUAUUUAGGCUAACAGCUGUGCCUCCGACGAAUUUGGAUGCACACAAGACACUCACGUGGCGUUUAUUCUGUGUAUCACUGUCAGUGUUUGUUUUCUUUGCCGUGACCUGCCUUUCGCCUGAACUUUGCUAGGUUGUAUUGCAUACCGUACGAAAGAUGGUCACCACUUCGAGAUGUUUCAUGUAUAGGUCUGGCUUUCUCCAGCUCAGUCUUUGUAAGAAUAAAAUGCUUACAGCAAUUGA